CCUACGGGAGGCAGCAGUGGGGAAUAUUGCACAAUGGGCGAAAGCCUGAUGCAGCAACGCCGCGUGAGCGAUGAAGGCCUUCGGGUCGUAAAGCUCUGUCCUCAAGGAAGAUAAUGACGGUACUUGAGGAGGAAGCACCGGCUAACUACGUGCCAGCAGCCGCGGUAAUACGUAGGGUGCUAGCGUUCUCCGGAAUUACUGGGCGUAAAGGGGGCGUAGGGGGUUUCUUAAGUCAGAGGUGAAAGGCUACGGCACAACCGUAGUAAGCCUUUGAAACUGGGUAACUUGAGUGCAGGAGAGGAGAGUGGAAUUCCUAGUGUAGCGGUGAAAUGCGUAGAUAUUAGGAGGAACCCCAGUGGCGAAGGCGGCUCUCUGGACUGUAACUGACACUGAGGCACGAAAGCGUGGGGAGCAAACAGGAUUAGAUACCCUUGUAGUC
rnacentral:rRNA from 1 species